rnacentral:lncRNA from 1 species
GAACUGGGGGGAAAAACUAUUUGACCAAAUAGAGGGAGGAAGAAAACUUAGAAGACUGGAUGCACUCCACGAAGUACUCUCUAUUCUUCCAGCGACCACCAACUCCGUUCACAAAAGGGUUCAGCAAACUGAAAUGCCCAAGCUCAUCCCACAUUGAAAGACUUCUCAGAGCAGAGGGCUCCUUCUGGGAUGAAGUGAGGAGCAAAGAAAUAAAACCGGAAAUUCGGAGGGGAAAUCCAACAAAAGCCAAAGUCCACCUUGCAGGUCUUCCCCUGUACCUCCCCACUUGGGUUAUAAUCAGAGUGCUGCUCUCAGCUCCUUGCUCCUUUCCUGGCUCAAGCCUUCUUCAACUGGAUCACUGGCAAGAGCUUCACCUACUGGACCUCCUAGGGUCGUUUCUUAAAAUGGAAGCAGACGUAAAUAUGCUGAAAUGUUUUCCUCUCUCCCCAAUAUCAAAGAAGAAAAGUCAAAUGACUCAGUGGCUUCUCCCAACAUUGUGCUUCCAAGUCCUGAGAUGUUGGCUCCAGCUGUAUGCUGAGCACUGGGCUGUGUGCUCAGAGAGAGCAGAGACAGGACAGCAUCCCUGAGAGCAGAGUCUACGAUGAAGACUGACCGUCACACCAAACCCUCUGCAGUGGCUGCCACACAGGGCAGACAGGAGAGGCAUGUCCACCUAGGAUGUGGGAGUGACACCGAAGCUGGGACCUGAGAUGACCAGAAAAUGAUCAAAGGACAGGGUUUCGUGAAGACUUUGAUCUUGGGAACUGACUUGAGCAAUCUCCAAUCAGACAGCGACAAUCACAAGUUCCCCUGCGACUCAGGGGUCAUGAACUUCGGGGACUUCACAUUUUCACACUGUCCAGCAAAUAUUGUUAGAAGAAUGAUCUUUUCAAAAAAAAAAAAAAAAACAGAAUGGGAGACCAAUAGAAGUGGAAACAGACCAGGGUUUCCCCAGAGAAUAAAACCAGGGAAGUCAAUCCUCCAUUGGACUGCUGUGUUUGGAUUCUAUCUUUUAUUAGAUUUUAGUUAAUACUUUGUUUUUAAAAACUGAGGAAAAAUGAACAAAACCAAAAACUUUUAAAAAAAGAAUGGGUAUGUAAUACACAUAUAAUAUAUAUGCACACAUAUAUGUGAACAUGUAUGUAUGUGCAUUCUAUAUACAUAUACCUGUGUCUAGAGAGAAGAGUUAUAGACAAAUUAUAUUCAGAAGUACAAAAAAGCCAUUACGUUCAUGGAAUACUCUUUUUUCAUGUUGAGCAUUGCUUAGUAAGUCAUUUUUUCUGU